GCAAAACUAACCCUGCUCCCGGAGCGCCAUUGGCCCGGGGAGGUCUCGAGCUCAUUACUAUGCAAGGAGGGGAGCCGCCAUUGGCCAAGGAAACUGGAUCUCCUAAAUUGGAUGGCCUGAGAAGUAGAACUUGCCUCCAGCGUUCGGUUGAGUUUCAAAUGACUCUCCACUGUUCAAAGGGCGAGGGCUUUGGGAGCUGUGCAAACGGAAAAAAGAUUUGGAAGAGGAGGGAGAAAGUCUCCCUUAAUCUGACAUGAAUAUUUAGGUUUUUAGCUCUACGUUAGUUUAAAACAUCUUCUCCCACAAGCCUCCACUUCCCCUGAGAUCUGUAUACCUAUCUUGAUAGGCGCUUGGUAGUUAGGUCUUAGCAAUUAACCCUCCUGGUGACGGCAUUUCGGACUGCUUGCUCACAUACUUUAAAAUCCUAAAACACGGGAAUCUAGUAAGGGUCAAAGGGGUUGGUGUUUCUGAACACUGGACGAUUUCUCCAGACAACAAAACAUUUGAGUGCUAGGUGACUACCCUUGAGAAGCCGGCAGCGCCUUCGGUGUUAGGUAACUGUCAGCACUCCUUCCUCCUAUGGACUCUCGUGGCUUAACAAACCCCACAGAACCGUUCUUCGUACCAAACACUGCUUUACGGCCAGCUCCUUUCUUGCUUUCUACUAUGCCUUGUUUUACUCUAUAUUAGAGACAUUUUUCAAGAAUAUUUUAAGGCAGACAGGUUAAAAAUGUCCCUAUCAUUAAGUUGACUACUCCUGUCAUCUAAGCGAAAAUAAAGAAAAUGGAAACAAGUUGAAGCAGACGUAAGAAGUUUAACAUAAAACCUUUCUAUCUUCUUUGCAUUCAGGAGCUUAUCUUUAAAAAUAAUGUCCAGUUGGGCACAUGACUAACAUACAGUAAAUUUAUUUACAUGCUAGAGGAUCAGUAAAAACAGAUAUGCCUUGACUUCAAGUUUUGGGAAUGACGUAUUUCCUCUAAUUGCAGGUCUCAAAGAGAACUUUCAGAUGUAUGGACAACCCUCUGGCUUUGGAGAUAAGAAAUCUGAAGCUCUCAGACACUGCCCUCUGCCCAAGAUCAUCACAGAGCAACGCCUGGGCCCCUGGGUCCCUCGCUCUGGAGCCCCUGGAGCCUUCCUUGAAUUGGCUUCCUUCCACUGUCUAAAUAAUUUCCAUUAUUUCCUGGCAACUCUCAUGAGCAAGUGAAGUGAGGAAAAAUUGUAAAUUUGAUGUCUUUAAUUGGUUCCUUUGAGACCUCUCUUUCAGAACAACACUGAAAGAUGACAAUUUCUCUUGCCAAGAUAUCACUUUCUUCUGAUGUUUUUAAAUAACAAUUAUAUGUUAUAUUGAUUGAUUUUAUUUUGCCCAAAUAACUCAUUUCCUUUGUUAUAAAGUAGUGGUUUUUAAA